rnacentral:rRNA from 1 species
UACAGAGGUCCCAAGCGUUGUUCGGAUUCAUUGGGCGUAAAGGGUGCGUAGGUGGCGUCGUAAGUCGGGUGUGAAAUCUCGGGGCUUAACUCCGAAACUGCAUUCGAUACUGCGGUGCUUGAGGACUGGAGAGGAGACUGGAAUUUACGGUGUAGCAGCGAAAUGCGUAGAGAUCGUAAGGAAGACCAGUGGCGAAGGCGGGUCUCUGGACAGUUCCUGACACUGAGGCACGAAGGCCAGGGGAGCAAACGGG